GCUGGGCGUGGUGGUGCAUGCCUGUAAUCCCAGCAGCUCAGGAGGCUGAGACAGGAGGAUUGUGAUUUCAAGGCCAGCCUCAGCAAUGGUGAAACCCUGUGUCUA
rnacentral:sRNA from 1 species